CCUACGGGAGGCAGCAGUGGGGAAUAUUGCACAAUGGGGGAAACCCUGAUGCAGCGACGCCGCGUGGGUGAAGACGUAUUUCGGUAUGUAAAGCUCUUUCAGCAGGGAAGAAAAUGACGGUACCUGAGCAAGAAGCCCCGGCUAACUACGUGCCAGCAGCCGCGGUAAUACGUAGGGGGCAAGCGUGAUCCGGAUUUACUGGGUGUAAAGGGAGCGUAUACUGCAGGGCAAGUCUGCAGUGAAAGGCGGGGGCUCAACCCCCGUACUGCGCUGGAAACUGGCAGGCUUGAGUGCAGGAGAGGUAAGUGGAAUUCCUAGUGUAGCGGUGAAAUGCGUAGAGAUUAGGAGGAACACCAGUGGCGAAGGCGGCUUACUGGACUGUAACUGACGUUGAGGCUCGAAAGCGUGGGGAGCAAACAGGAUUAGAUACCCCUGUAGUC
rnacentral:rRNA from 1 species